CAAACCAAAGCUGGCGACCGGCGCACGGGUGAGUAACACGUAUCCAACCUGCCUCAUACUCGGGGAUAGCCUUUCGAAAGAAAGAUUAAUAUCCGAUAGCAUAUAUUUCCCGCAUGGGUUUUAUAUUAAAGAAAUUCGGUAUGAGAUGGGGAUGCGUUCCAUUAGUUUGUUGGGGGGGUAACGGCCCACCAAGACUACGAUGGAUAGGGGUUCUGAGAGGAAGGUCCCCCACAUUGGAACUGAGACACGGCCAA
rnacentral:rRNA from 1 species